rnacentral:tRNA from 1 species
GGGGUAGGUGCUGGGUACACACGAGACGCUGGCAGCGUUUCCGAGAAGGGUUCGAUUCCCUUUUACUCCACCA